GGGUUCUUGAGCAGAUGACUUCGGUGGCGGCUCUGAGGUCCACGAUGCCUUCUGCGGCCAGAGCCUGGCGGAUGAUGGUGGCGUCGCGGGUUGGGGGGUCGUGCAUCCAGAGGAGUACGGCCUUCUUGGUGUUGCCGCUGAGCUCGGAGGAGAGGCGCUUGGUGAGGUCAUCGUGGUACAUGGUUUUGUACUCCUGUUGGAGGUAGGCUCGCUGGGUGGCGUCGCGGUGGGCGAGGAUGUUGAUGACGGCGGAUGUGUCGCAGCCGAACCCUUUGAAGGCGCGGUGGAGG
rnacentral:lncRNA from 1 species